AUCUUUUUAUUUAUUUAUCAUUAGAUAAUUUUUUUAAAGAGUGGGAUGUUUUAAAUACGAAAAAUGGACGCAAAACCUCGCGAAACGCGAGGUUCGCCGUGAUUUGUAAUGAUCCUUCCGCAGGUUCACCUACGGAAA
rnacentral:misc_RNA from 1 species